UGGGGAAUAUUGCACAAUGGGCGAAAGCCUGAUGCAGCAACGCCGCGUGCGGGAUGACGGCCUUCGGGUUGUAAACCGCUUUCAGCAGGGACGAAGGUUUUCUGACGGUACCUGCAGAAGAAGCACCGGCUAACUACGUGCCAGCAGCCGCGGUGAUACGUAGGGUGCGAGCGUUGUCCGGAAUUAUUGGGCGUAAAGAGCUUGUAGGCGGUCCGUUGCGUCGGAAGUGAAAACUCAGGGCUUAACCCUGAGCCUGCUUUCGAUACGGGCGGACUUGAGGGAUGUAGGGGAGAACGGAAUUCCUGGUGGAGCGGUGGAAUGCGCAGAUAUCAGGAGGAACACCAGUGGCGAAGGCGGUUCUCUGGACAUUUCCUGACGCUGAGAAGCGAAAGCGUGGGGAGCAAACAGGCUUAGAUACCCUGGUAGUCCACGCCGUAAACGGUGGGCACUAGGUGUGGGACCCAUUCCAC
rnacentral:rRNA from 1 species